UCCAGACUCCUACGGGAGGCAGCAGUGGGGGAUAUUGCACAAUGGGGGGAACCCUGAUGCAGCGACGCCGCGUGGGUGAAGAAGCGCCUCGGCGCGUAAAGCCCUGUCAGCAGGGAAGAAAAUGACGGUACCUGAAGAAGAAGCCCCGGCUAACUACGUGCCAGCAGCCGCGGUAAUACGGAGGAUGCGAGCGUUAUCCGGAUUUAUUGGGUUUAAAGGGUGCGUAGGCGGGCUGUUAAGUCAGCGGUAAAAGCCCGGGGCUCACCCCCGGCGAGCCGUUGAAACUGGCUGUCUUGAGAUGUCGAGAGGUAUGCGGAAUGCGCAGUGUAGCGGUGAAAUGCUUAGAUAUUGCGCAGAACUCCGAUUGCGAAGGCAGCAUACCGGCGCCCAACUGACGCUGAAGCACGAAAGCGUGGGUAUCGAACAGGAUUAGAUACCCGUGUAGG
rnacentral:rRNA from 1 species